rnacentral:rRNA from 1 species
GGGAAUAUUGGGCAAUGGGCGCAAGCCUGACCCAGCAACGCCGCGUGAAGGAAGAAGGCUUUCGGGUUGUAAACUUCUUUUAAGAGGGACGAAACAAAUGACGGUACCUCUUGAAUAAGCUCCGGCUAACUACGUGCCAGCAGCCGCGGUAAUACGUAGGGAGCGAGCGUUAUCCGGAUUUACUGGGUGUAAAGGGCGUGUAGGCGGGAUGGCAAGUCAGGCGUGAAAACUAUGGGCUCAACCCAUAGCCUGCGUUUGAAACUGUCGUUCUUGAGUGAUGGAGAGGCAAGCGGAAUUCCGUGUGUAGCGGUGAAAUGCGUAGAUAUACGGAGGAACACCAGUGGCGAAGGCGGCUUGCUGGACAUUAACUGACGCUGAGGCGCGAAAGCGUGGGGAGCAAACAG